AGAGCGAACGCUGGCGGCAGGCUUAACACAUGCAAGUCGAGCGGGCGUAGCAAUACGUCAGCGGCAGACGGGUGAGUAACGCGUGGGAACAUACCUUUUGGUUCGGAACAACACAGGGAAACUUGUGCUAAUACCGGAUAAGCCCUUACGGGGAAAGAUUUAUCGCCGAAAGAUUGGCCCGCGUCUGAUUAACUAGUUGGUGAGGUAACGGCUCACCAAGGCGACGAUCAGUAGCUGGUCUGAGAGGAUGAUCAGCCACAUUGGGACUGAGACACGGCCCAAACUCCUACGGGAGGCAGCAGUGGGGAAUAUUGGACAAUGGGCGCAAGCCUGAUCCAGCCAUGCCGCGUGAGUGAUGAAGGCCUAGGGUUGUAAAGCUCUUUGUGCGGGAAGAUAAUGACGGUACGCAAGAAUAAGCCCGGCUAACUUCGCGCCAGCAGCCGC
rnacentral:rRNA from 1 species